rnacentral:tRNA from 1 species
GCAGAGAUGGCUCAGUGGUUAAGAGCACUGGCUGCUCUUCCAGAGGUCCUGAGUUCAAUUCCCAGCAACUACA